UUUGUGUUCGAAUUUGCCACAAUUCAAUUGGGCUUGACCUUACUUAUUUUGUAUAUCUGUUGACUGCGAAUUGUUUGUCAAUGUGUCGGCUUGUCUUUUUCUUUUCUUGAUUUCAUGACUUGAGAGUGAUUUGAAGAUUGUUUUAUUUACGAAAACAUUUUAUUUAGAAGGAUAUGAAUUCAUUUUGAUUCAUAUUUUUGCAUUCUUUGGAGAAAUCGACUUCUGGGUAAUCAGUAGAAGCGAAGAUUCUGGUCUUGAUUCGAACAUCUCUUGAAGAAGGUGCAGCAUUGUAUUAUCUAGAGUGAUUCGAAGAAAUGUCAACAAAAAGGGAAUCUAAACAGCCGGUACCUAGUGUCAUGGCAAGAUUAAUGGGGCUGGAUGAAAUG
rnacentral:misc_RNA from 1 species